GAUGAAGAACGUAGCGAAAUGCGAUAAGUAAUGUGAAUUGCAGAAUUCAGUGAAUCAUCGAAUCUUUGAACGCACAUUGCGCCCCUUGGUAUUCCGAGGGGCAUGCCUGUUCGAGCGUCAUUAUAACCCCUCAAGCUCAGCUUGGUGUUGGGGCCUGCUGCACUGGCAGCCCUUAAAAUCAGUGGCGGCGCCAUCUGGCUCUAAGCGUAGUAAUUCUUCUCGCUAUGGAGUCCUGGUGGAUGCUUGCCAUCAACCCCCAAUUUUUCUAUGGUUGACCUCGGAUCAGGUUGGGAUACCCGCUGAACUUAAGCAUAUCAAUAAGCGGAGGA
rnacentral:misc_RNA from 1 species